rnacentral:rRNA from 1 species
AGAGUUUGAUCAUGGCUCAGGAUGAACGCUGGCGGCGUGCCUAACACAUGCAAGUCGAGCGAUUCUCUUCGGAGAAGAGCGGCGGACGGGUGAGUAACGCGUGGGUAACCUGCCCUGUACACACGGAUAACAUACCGAAAGGUAUGCUAAUACGAGAUAAUAUACUUUUAUCGCAUGGUAGAAGUAUCAAAGCUCCGGUGGUACAGGAUGGACCCGCGUCUGAUUAGCUAGUUGGUAAGGUAACGGCUUACCAAGGCGACGAUCAGUAGCCGACCUGAGAGGGUGAUCGGCCACAUUGGAACUGAGACACGGUCCAAACUCCUACGGGAGGCAGCAGUGGGGAAUAUUGCACAAUGGGCGAAAGCCUGAUGCAGCAACGCCGCGUGAGCGAUGAAGGCCUUCGGGUCGUAAAGCUCUGUCCUCAAGGAAGAUAAUGACGGUACUUGAGGAGGAAGCCCCGGCUAACUACGUGCCAGCAGCCGCGGUAAUACGUAGGGGGCUAGCGUUAUCCGGAAUUACUGGGCGUAAAGGGUGCGUAGGUGGUCUCUUAAGUCAGAGGUGAAAGGCUACGGCUCAACCGUAGUAAGCCUUUGAAACUGGGAAACUUGAGUGCAGGAGAGGAGAGUGGAAUUCCUAGUGUAGCGGUGAAAUGCGUAGAUAUUAGGAGGAACACCAGUUGCGAAGGCGGCUCUCUGGACUGUAACUGACACUGAGGCACGAAAGCGUGGGGAGCAAACAGGAUUAGAUACCCUGGUAGUCCACGCCGUAAACGAUGAGU